UGUAGACGCUGUAAAUCGAAAUAUUGACAAUAUAAGAUUUCCAAGAACACAACAAGAAUUGGCAGAAGCAAAACUUGGCUUCUACAAAAGAUGCAAAAUUGCCAAUAUCGUAGGUGCAGUCGACGGAACACUCGUCCC